rnacentral:rRNA from 1 species
UAUUUUAAAGAGAGUUUGAUCCUGGCUCAGGACGAACGCUGGCGGCGUGCCUAAUACAUGCAAGUCGAACGAACGGAGGAAGAGCUUGCUCUUCCAAUGUUAGUGGCGGACGGGUGAGUAACACGUGGGCAACCUGCCUGUAAGUUGGGGAUAACUCCGGGAAACCGGGGCUAAUACCGAAUGAUAAAGUGUGGCGCAUGCCACGCUUUUGAAAGAUGGUUUCGGCUAUCGCUUACAGAUGG